rnacentral:rRNA from 1 species
UGCAAGUCGAACGGUAACGGGCCUUCGGGUGCCGACGAGUGGCGAACGGGUGAGUAAUACAUCGGAACGUGCCCGAGAGUGGGGGAUAACGAGGCGAAAGCUUUGCUAAUACCGCAUACGAUCUCAGGAUGAAAGCAGGGGACCUUCGGGCCUUGCGCUCACGGAGCGGCUGAUGGCAGAUUAGGUAGUUGGUGGGAUAAGAGCUUACCAAGCCUGCGAUCUGUAGCUGGUCUGAGAGGAUGAUCAGCCACACUGGGACUGAGACACGGCCCAGACUCCUACGGGAGGCAGCAGUGGGGAAUUUUGGACAAUGGGGGCAACCCUGAUCCAGCCAUGCCGCGUGCAGGAUGAAGGCCUUCGGGUUGUAAACUGCUUUUGUACGGAACGAAAAAGCGCCUUCUAAUACAGGGCGUCCAUGACGGUACCGUAAGAAUAAGCACCGGCUAACUACGUGCCAGCAGCCGCGGUAAUACGUAGGGUGCGAGCGUUAAUCGGAAUUACUGGGCGUAAAGCGUGCGCAGGCGGUCAUGCAAGACAGAGGUGAAAUCCCCGGGCUCAACCUGGGAACUGCCUUUGUGACUGCAUGGCUGGAGUGCGGCAGAGGGGGAUGGAAUUCCGCGUGUAGCAGUGAAAUGCGUAGAUAUGCGGAGGAACACCGAUGGCGAAGGCAAUCCCCUGGGCCUGCACUGACGCUCAUGCACGAAAGCGUGGGGAGCAAACAGGAUUAGAUACCCUGGUAGUCCACGCCCUAAACGAUGUCAACUGGUUGUUGGGGAUUUAUUUCUUCAGUAACGAAGCUAACGCGUGAAGUUGACCGCCUGG